rnacentral:rRNA from 1 species
UACGGGAGGCAGCAGUAGGGAAUAUUGGGCAAUGGGCGAGAGCCUGACCCAGCCAUGCCGCGUGCAGGAAGAAGGCUUUCUGAGUCGUAAACUGCUUUUGAUAGGGAAGAAUAACCAGUACGUGUACUGGGAUGACGGUACCUACAGAAUAAGCACCGGCUAACUCCGUGCCAGCAGCCGCGGUAAUACGGAGGGUGCGAGCGUUGUCCGGAUUUAUUGGGUUUAAAGGGUGCGUAGGCGGCCCGUUAAGUCCGGGGUGAAAGCCCGCUGCUCAACAGCGGAACUGCCCUGGAUACUGGCGGGCUUGAGUACAGACGAGGUUGGCGGAAUGGACCGAGUAGCGGUGAAAUGCAUAGAUACGGUCCAGAACCCGAUUGCGAAGGCAGCUGACUAGGCUGUUACUGACGCUGAGGCACGACAGCGUGGGGAGCGAAC